rnacentral:lncRNA from 1 species
AAGAAUGUAGCAGUUGACUGGUAAGAGCUAAAUGGACUGCAGGGGCCAUGUAGAGCUGUGUUAGGGAGUUAAAUAGGGGUUACUGAAGGACCUAUAUGGCUGCUAGAGGUAGACUGUCAGGAGGCUUUUAUAGAAGUCAAAUAGGCUUAACAGUGGAAUACAUGUAGGGCCGUGUAGAGAGCAGUAGUAGAGCUAAUGAUUGCUAAAAGAACCUCAACCAUAAAUGGCCAAGGUUAUGACUGAAAAUCAGUUAACUUCUAUGCUUAAUUGAGUUCUAAAAAUACAAUAGCAGUCAAUUAGAUAGAAAGAGGGCAGAGCUCAGAUAAAAGGGAAAGAAAGAAUUGAGCAUCUCAUCUAUGGAAGUCUAGGAAGGUAAGCUAAUUUAAACUCUUCCCAAUCCUUUUCCAUUACAUUUUGUUAAUAAGGCUGGAUUGUUAGUGUCCGGGUACUUAAAAUGGGCUGCUACGUAUAGUUAUUGAUUGCGGACUAAAAUAUGAUUAUCAUGGUUGUGUUUGUUAUUGUUGUUGUUAUGCUUGACUAAUAUGAGUAUCAUUAUUGAUCAAAAGCCAAAAGGCUGGAACCAAGUGGCUAGUAAUAUAUGUACUAUGUAUAUGAAUGUGGUCUGCACACUAAAUGUUUGAUAAAAUGCUAAACUUAGAGCUGAAAUAGUAUCAAUGUAUGGUAGCUGUGAUUUAAAGUCUAAAAUGAUGUCUAAUAACUUAUAUAGUAAAACUAAUGUAUCAAGCAUGCUCCUAUGCUAAAGUGUAACAUGAUUUAAAGUAACUUGUGAUAGUUAUACUAGUUCUCCAUUAGGCUAUAUGGAUUACAAGGAGGCUGUUAUAGCAAGCUUGAUAGUGACUGAUAUUUCUUACUUUUAAUAUGGUUUUUAUGCUAUAACAUGAGAUAAAUGUACUAAUCAUUGAAGGUUGAUAGAAGUGGAACUUAAGUAGCAAUUUUUCAGUUGAUAAAAGACCAAAAUAGGGCAGUCUGGGCCUGUUUGAAAUAUGCCAGACCGGACCACUGUUUUGGUGUAUUUGUAUACUACCUAUGUAGCUUGGUGAUGGACUGUUUUGAGAGCUUGAAAGACUAACUUAAAUGGCUUGUUGAAGUUUUUCAUUGUGCAGUCUAUUGUAUUCCAUCC